GCCUGGAUAGCUCAGUUGGUUAGAGAGUGGUGCUGAUAGCACCAAGAUUGCAGGUUCGAUCCCCGGAUCUGGAACCCAGGCA